CGCUCCCGGGGUGGGGGUGUGGCUUUCAGGUUCGUCCCGACUCGCCUUGUCACCACACGAUGCAGGAGGCAUUUUUCAAACUCAAGCUUCUGUCUGUACCAGCAGGUGUUUCCAUCACGUGCCAGACCCUGAUGUCACUCAUAUGUCAGCCUGUCACUGCAAAAUUUGAGUUCCUCGUUUGUAAACUCUAUCAGAAACGUGUUUCUGUGAGGGGCUGUGAGAGGCUGUGUGCUUGAAGUCCGUUUCACCUUUCCACACACCGUCCAUCCCCCUGGUUUCUUACAAGAAUGAUCAGAUUUGCUAAUAAGAGAAGAUUCAAGUGGAACUUACAAUUUUUCCUCUUUGUGUGUACAUUGAUUCAUCCUACAGCCAACCGGACCGCCUCCAUUUUGUUCCGUGUCCUCCAUCUUGAGCGAGAAGUCUCCCGCUCAAGCCACGCCCACUCCCGCAGAAAC